AUUGAACCUACAUCCAAGUUGGGUUUGUUUCCGCGGUACCACAACGGUAACUCCAAUGUUCCUCUUCUUAAAUGGAGAUAGUGUUCUCUGCUUUAGCUAUCUCUGAAAGUAAAAUAUUGGUCUGAAAGUAAAAAGCAUUGGUCUGAAAGUAAAAUAAGGUAAAACAGGACAAAAAUAAGGCUGUGCUUAGAAAAAAAUGAGUCAAGACAUUUAAAAAUAUUACUAACUAAUUUAUAAUUUUUAAAUCAGUGUUAAUCUGCAUUCCUGUGAGAGAUAGGAUAAUCUAGUGGUUUAAGCCAUCAGUUCUUUGAUUUGGCUUUUGCUGGUAGGAUCUUGGGCAAGUUAAUCUCCUUGAGCUGCAAUUCUUUUACUGUGAAUAGAUAACUAUCUGCUUCAUCUAUUGCUGUGAGGCUUAAAUAGCUUAUUAUAGGUUAAGUGCUUACCCUAGCAUCUGACGAAUGAAAAGUGUUUACUUGACCAAGUAUUUACUUUUCUUAUUCCUGAAAUGCCCAAGACGACCUUGCAUCUCUUUUCAAAUGUAUUUGUACAGGAAUGGCCACCUACAUCUGUCUAGGACCCACUGAAAACCAAAAACAGUUGUGAAAUGGAGAGACCUUAUGUGCCCAAGUCAACAAGCUAUUGAAGGAGCUGGAUUUUAAUUCCGAUGCUUUGGCUAAUUGGAUGACCUUGGACAGACACUUUGUUUGCAGUGGUAUUAGCAUUUCUGCAAUAUGCAGAUGAAGAAGCUGAGGACCUGACUCAUUCCCCCAAGGUGUGGCAAUUUUAUUUUCCAGAAUAAAGCCAUCUCAUGUAAAUAUCCCAUCAAUAGCAGCAGAUGGUAAAAGGCAAUUUGAAUGAUGCUUUCAAAAUUCGGAGGCAACUGCAAUUAUCAAUGUCUUCUAUAUCCUGCCAGUAGUAGUCCAUGCAUAAGAAAAAAAAAAGGUAAAUGUUUCCUAUUCUUUAAAAGAACAAAUGUUGGCAUUCUAAAUUGACUCUUUUUUUAUUUAACAAUAGAUAACAUCUCAGAGAUUAGUCCAAGUCAAUUUAUAUUGAACACUCUCAUCUUUUUUUAAAUAACUGUAUUAUAUUGAAUUUUGUGUGCUUUACUGUACAACAGAAAUUGGCACAACAUUGUAAAUCAACUAUACUUUAAUAAAAUAAAUAAACAACAAAAAAGAAUGAAUCAUGAUUUUUUUAAAAUUUUCUAUUAGUAGGUAGUUUCCAACAGAUUUGUUUUAUAAACAAUGUUGUAAUGAAUAACUGUGCACAUAUCAUUCAUAUGUAUGCUGGUAUGUAUGUGAGACAAAGUCCUAAGAGUAGAAUCGUUGGGUAAAAGUAUAUUUGCUUUAUGAUUUGAUAGCUAGCGUCACAUUGCUUUCAAUAGCAUUUCUAUCAAUUUGUCUCACCAUCAGCUAUGUGAGGAGAGUGCCUUUUUCUCUACAUUAUUGCCAACAUAACAUUUCCAAACAUUUGAUUUUACAUUAUCUAGUUGGUUAUAAAAAAAGGAUAACAUUAUCAUUUUACCUUUCACUUUAAUGAAUAAGGUCAAGCAUCUCUUUGCUUUUAGGAGACAUCUGUAAUUCAAUUUUCUGCUCGUACUCUGAUUUUUAAAAAAUUGGGUCAUUGACCUUUUAUUGAUUAGUCAGAGUCCUUUAGAUAUUAGUUAGCCUUCUAUCUGUGAUUUGAACUGGACUUUUUUUUCCUCACUGGUUGGUCAAUUGCCUUUGACUUUUUAAGUGGUAUCUUUUCUACAUCAUUCUACCUUUUUUUUUUUUUUUUUUUUUUUUAGGGCUGCACUUGUGGCAUAUGGAAGUUCCCAGGCUAGGGGUCUAAUCGGAGCUACAGCCACCAGCUUACACCACAGCCACAGCAACUCGGGGUCCGAGCCACGUCUGCAACCUACACCACAGCUCAUGGCAACGCCAGAUCCUUAACCUACUGAGCAAGGCCAGGGACAGAACCCAUGUCCUCAGGGAUGCUAGUCGGGCUUGUUAACUGCUGAGCCACGAAGGGAACUCCCUAUUCUACCUUUUUAAUGUUAGUUAAUGUGUUGCUUUUCUUUUAAGUUUCAUAAUUAUUCUGUUUUCUAAAUCAUGAGAGUCUAUUUUUAUGUAUAAUAUUUUCUUCCUUUACUUUUUAGACAUUUUAUUGUUUUUCUCAGUUUCUUCAUUUAUUUUAUUUUUUAAUAUAUAUUAAUAUAAGUUUAAGGGUCUUAUUUAUUCUUAAAAUAUUAUAUAAGUGUAAACUUUUCCUUUUAUUUCUUAAUAUAAAUGCACAUCUUAUGAGUGCUGCUCGUAGAUUAUGACACUGUUUUAAUAAUGCUGUUUUGUUGAUGAAAUGCAAUUUCACUUUUCUUAUUUGAACUAAUAGCUGUAUAAGGGAAAGGCUUUCUUAUUUUUUCUAGCUUUGCUAAUUGAUUUCUAAUUCUAUUAUUUUGUGACCAGAGAAUAAUGACUAUACUCUUUCCACAUUUUAGAAUGUAUGGACUUUGGGCAUAAUAUAGGGUAAACUUUUGCAAAUAUUUUUGGCACCUACUAAAAAAAUUAUGGCCACUUUUCAUCACAGAAUAGAGUUAUGCAUAUUUUAGAAUUACAUAUAUAUGACUAAUAUGUCUCUAAAAUUUCAGUGUUAAUCUCAUACAAAACCACUUUCACAGAAACAUCCAGAAUAAUGUUUUCUCAGAUAUCUAGGUACCACAUCAACCAAGUUGACACAUAAAAUCAACCAUCACAAUUAUACAAAUUAUGUAGUACAUAAUAUAUAUUUUAGUUUCAUGAAUUUUGUUCUAGCAGUCAUCUUUAUAUCUAUAUCUGUAUAUAAUACACCAACUACUUAUUUCUGUAGAUAGUAUCUUGAUUAUCUUCAAUGAGGAAAUAACAUCAGUUUACCUCCUCUUUUUCUCCUUAUCUUCCGUCUUCUACACCAUUCAAUUUCCAUUUCUAUAAAUUUUUUUUUCAUUAAACCUCCUGUUUUUAACCAUAUAUAAAUGGUUUGGUUUAGCAGUUUUAGAUAGUAUAUCUUUCACCUAUAUAUAAAAGAUAAAUCAUAACACGUUAUUUCCACCAUUUGUCUUCACUUCUUCCGAACUUUGCUAGUUUUUUCACAUCUACAUUGCAAAGUUCCUGACAUUUCAUUUGGUUCUGUAACUCUAAUGUCCACAUAUGGUUGAGACUGUGACCUAAAGCUAAAGAUUCAAUACUCAUUGCUGCCUUUUGCAGCAGUUUCUCUAUUUAUUUCUUAGUUGAAUAAAGUUUGUGCUCAUACUUUCUCCAGGAGGGACUCAU
rnacentral:lncRNA from 1 species